UCCUACGGGAGGCAGCAGUGGGGAAUAUUGGACAAUGGGCGAAAGCCUGAUCCAGCAAUGCCGCGUGUGUGAAGAAGGCCUGCGGGUUGUAAAGCACUUUCAGUAGGGAAGAAAAGCAUGGGGAUAAUACCCCCGUGUCUUGACGUAACCUACAGAAGAAGCACCGGCUAACUCCGUGCCAGCAGCCGCGGUAAU
rnacentral:rRNA from 1 species